rnacentral:rRNA from 1 species
AACGAACGCUGGCGGCAUGCCUAACACAUGCAAGUCGAACGAGACCUUCGGGUAUAGUGGCGCACGGGUGCGUAACGCGUGGGAACCUGCACUUAGGUUCGGAAUAACUCCCCGAAAGGGGUGCUAAUACCGGAUAAUGUCUUCGGACCAAAGAUUUAUCGCCUUUGGAUGGGCCUGCGUUGGAUUAGUGAGUUGGUAGGGUAAAAGCCUACCAAGGCGACGAUCCAUAGCUGGUCUGAGAGGAUGAUCAGCCACACUGGGACUGAGACACGGCCCAUACUCCAACGGGAGGCAGCAGUGGGGAAAAUAGGACAAUGGGCGAAAGCCUGAACCAGCAAUGCCGCGUGAGUGAUGAAGGCCUUAGAGUUGUAAAUCUCUUUUACCCGAGAUGAUAUUGACAUAACCGGGAGAAUAGGCUUCGGCUAACUCCGU